GACGAACGCUGGCGGCGUGCUUAACACAUGCAAGUCGAACGAAGUGGCGCACGGGUGAGUAACGCGUAAUCAACCUGCCCUUCAGGGGGGGACAACAGUUGGAAACGACUACUAAUACCGAAUACUGAAGGAGGGGAUUGCGUCUGCUUCGCUAGUUGGGGGGGUAACGGCCCACCAAGGCGAUGAUCAGUAGCCGGUUUGAGGAGGUGAACGGGCAAAACUGGAAUGGGACACGGCUCAGAACCCUACGGGAGGCAGCAGGUGGGAAUCUUUCGCAAAGGAGGAAAGUCUGGAGGCGCAACUCCGGGGGAGGGAAGACAGCCUUCGGGUUGUAAAGCUCUGUUCAUCGGGAAGCGGUACCGGAAGAGAAAGCCACGGCUAACUACGUGCCAGCAGCCGCGGUAAUUC
rnacentral:rRNA from 1 species